UACGUAGGGACCAAGCGUUGUCCGGAUUUAUUGGGCGUAAAGAGCUCGUAGGCGGCCCUCCACGUCGGAUGUGAAAGCUCAGGGCUCAACCCUGGGAUGCCAUUCGAUACGGGAAGGCUAGAGGUAGGUAGGGGAAAGUGGAAUUCCUGGUGUAGCGGUGAAAUGCGCAGAUAUCAGGAGGAACACCGGUGGCGAAGGCGGGUCUCUGGGCAACAACUGACGCUGAGGAGCGAAAGCGUGGGGAGCGAACAGG
rnacentral:rRNA from 1 species